rnacentral:rRNA from 1 species
UGGGGAAUAUUGGACAAUGGGGGGAACCCUGAUCCAGCCAUGCCGCGUGUGUGAAGAAGGCCUUAUGGUUGUAAAGCACUUUAAGCGAGGAGGAGGGUACUGGUAUUAAUACUACCAGGUACUGGACGUUACUCGCAGAAUAAGCACCGGCUAACUCUGUGCCAGCAGCCGCGGUAAUACAGAGGGUGCAAGCGUUAAUCGGAAUUACUGGGCGUAAAGCGCGCGUAGGUGGUUCGUUAAGUUGAAUGUGAAAGCCCCGGGCUGAACCUGGGAACUGCAUCCAAAACUGGCGAGCUAGAGUAGGGCAGAGGGUGGUGGAAUUUCCUGUGUAGCGGUGAAAUGCGUGGAUAUAGGAAGGAACACCAGUGGCGAAGGCGACCACCUGGGCUCAUACUGACACUGAGGUGCGAAAGCGUGGGGAGCAAACAGG